rnacentral:rRNA from 1 species
GACGAACGCUGGCGGCGUGCCUAAUACAUGCAAGUAGAACGCUGAAGGAGGAGCUUGCUUCUCUGGAUGAGUUGCGAACGGGUGAGUAACGCGUAGGUAACCUGCCUGGUAGCGGGGGAUAACUAUUGGAAACGAUAGCUAAUACCGCAUAAUAGUAGAUGUUGCAUGACAUUUGCUUAAAAGGUGCAAUUGCAUCACUACCAGAUGGACCUGCGUUGUAUUAGCUAGUUGGUGGGGUAACGGCUCACCAAGGCGACGAUACAUAGCCGACCUGAGAGGGUGAUCGGCCACACUGGGACUGAGACACGGCCUAGACUCCUACGGGAGGCAGCAGUAGGGAAUCUUCGGCAAUAGACGGAAGUCUGACCGAGCAACGCCGCGUGAGUGAAGAAGGUUUUCGGAUCGUAAAGCUCUGUUGUAAGAGAAGAACGAGUGUGAGAGUGGAAAGUUCACACUGUGACGGUAUCUUACCAGAAAGGGACGGCUAACUACGUG